AAAUUGAAGAGUUUGAUCAUGGCUCAGAUUGAACGCUGGCGGCAGGCCUAACACAUGCAAGUCGAACGGUAACAGGAAGCAGCUUGCUGCUUUGCUGACGAGUGGCGGACGGGUGAGUAAUGUCUGGGAAACUGCCUGAUGGAGGGGGAUAACUACUGGAAACGGUGGCUAAUACCGCAUAACGUCGCAAGACCAAAGAGGGGGACCUUCGGGCCUCUUGCCAUCAGAUGUGCCCAGAUGGGAUUAGCUAGUUGGUGAGGUAACGGCUCACCAAGGCGACGAUCCCUAGCUGGUCUGAGAGGAUGACCAGCCACACUGGAACUGAGACACGGUCCAGACUCCUACGGGAGGCAGCAGUGGGGAAUAUUGCACAAUGGGCGCAAGCCUGAUGCAGCCAUGCCGCGUGUAUGAAGAAGGCCUUCGGGUUGUAAAGUACUUUCAGCGGGGAGGAAGGUGUUGUGGUUAAUAACCACAGCAAUUGACGUUACCCGCAGAAGAAGCACCGGCUAACUCCGUGCCAGCAGCCGCGGUAAUACGGAGGGUGCAAGCGUUAAUCGGAAUUACUGGGCGUAAAGCGCACGCAGGCGGUCUGUCAAGUCGGAUGUGAAAUCCCCGGGCUCAACCUGGGAACUGCAUUCGAAACUGGCAGGCUUGAGUCUUGUAGAGGGGGGUAGAAUUCCAGGUGUAGCGGUGAAAUGCGUAGAGAUCUGGAGGAAUACCGGUGGCGAAGGCGGCCCCCUGGACAAAGACUGACGCUCAGGUGCGAAAGCGUGGGGAGCAAACAGGAUUAGAUACCCUGGUAGUCCACGCCGUAAACGAUGUCUACUUGGAGGUUGUGCCCUUGAGGCGUGGCUUCCGGAGCUAACGCGUUAAGUAGACCGCCUGGGGAGUACGGCCGCAAGGUUAAAACUCAAAUGAAUUGACGGGGGCCCGCACAAGCGGUGGAGCAUGUGGUUUAAUUCGAUGCAACGCGAAGAACCUUACCUGGUCUUGACAUCCACAGAAGAAUCCAGAGAUGGAUUUGUGCCUUCGGGAACUGUGAGACAGGUGCUGCAUGGCUGUCGUCAGCUCGUGUUGUGAAAUGUUGGGUUAAGUCCCGCAACGAGCGCAAC
rnacentral:rRNA from 1 species